UUCCGGUUGAUCCUGCCGGACCCCACUGCUAUCAAGGUGGGACUAAGCCAUGCUAGUUGUACGCUUCAAACUAGUGAAGAGUAGCAUACUGCUCAGUAACACGUAGUUAACCUACCCUCUGGAUGGAGACACCCCCGGGAAACUGGGGCUAAUCUCAAAUAGAUAUAGAGGCCUGGAAUGGUUCUAUAUUCAAAUGCAUAAUAACCAUGUUUAUUAUGUGCCAAAGGAUGGGGCUGCGGCUGAUCAGGCAGUUGGUGAGGUAAUGGCUCACCAAACCUUUGACCGGUACGGGCCGUGAAAGCGGUAGCCCGGAGAUGGGUACUGAGACAAGGACCCAGGCCCUACGGGGCGCAGCAGGCGCGAAAACUCCACAAUGUACGUAAGUAUGAUGGGGUUACCUUGAGUGCAGUCUGAAAAAGGUUGCUUUUCCAUAGAGUAAUAUCCUAUGGGAAUAAGAGGGGGGCAAGACUGGUGUCAGCCGCCGCGGUAACACCAGCCCCUCGAGUGGUGGGGACUUUUAUUUGGCCUAAAGCGUCCGUAGCUGGCUGUUUCCGUCACCCGUUAAAUCCAGCGUCCUAAGCGUUGGACUGCGGGUGAUACCAAACAGCUAGAGGGUGGGAGAGGUCAGCGGUAUUCUUGGGGUAGGGGCGAAAUCCUUUGAUCCCAGGAGGACCACCAGUGGCGAAGGCUGCUGACUAGAACACGCCUGACGGUCAGGGACGAAAGCUGGGGUAGCGAACCGGAUUAGAUACCCGGGUAGUCCCAGCUGUAAACGAUGCUCGCUAGGUGUUGGGUCGGCCAUGCGCCGCCCCAGUGCCGCAGGGAAGCCGUUAAGCGAGCCGCCUGGGGAGUACGGCCGCAAGGCUGAAACUUAAAGGAAUUGGCGGGGGAGCACCACCAGGCGUGAAGCUUGCGGUUUAAUUGGAUUCAACGCCGGAA
rnacentral:rRNA from 1 species